GUAAGCUGUCUUUCCCCAGGGUACACCUUUGCGUGGGUGGCGCUUUCAGGGUCACGGAGUCUUUGCACUCCCUGGGGACCAGUGCGACAGGAUAGGGGAGUAGCGGCCUAGGUUCCAGCUCCCUUGGAAGAAGGCAGCUUUUGUGAAGUAGGAAGGAGGAAGCUCCAGGAACAGGAAUCUCACCUUGAAGGUCACUCCUCUGACCUCAGACUUCUCAACCACAGCUUUAGAGAAGAGGCAGGAAACUGCUAGAAAGGAGCAGGUCCUAGGUUUGCGUAGUCUGCAGUAGCAGUUCUUUAUUCUGCUCAGAAUGAGCAUUGCCUCACUAUCACCACAUCCAGAGGGCCUCACCAUGAUGGUGAAAGGUCUGGACCAAGCUUCAGAAAAGAUAGCUGUACAUUCAACCUUCUCUGUACAUUCCCAAAAAGAACAGAAAAAGAAUAAAUCCCAGAGAAAGAGAGAGCGCACAAGCAGGAGGAGCAACAGGCAGAGGGAAAAG